GACGAACGCUGGCGGCAUGCCUAAUACAUGCAAGUCGAGCGGAGUUAUGAAGGAGCUUGCUCUUGGUUAACUUAGCGGCGGACGGGUGAGUAACACGUAGGCAACCUGCCCUCAAGACUGGGAUAACUACCGGAAACGGUAGCUAAUACCGGAUAAUUUCUUUCCUCUCCUGAAGAGAGAAUGAAAGGCGGAGCAAUCUGCUGCUUGGGGAUGGGCCUGCGGCGCAUUAGUUAGUUGGUGGGGUAACGGCCUACCAAGGCGACGAUCAGUAGCCGACCUGAGAGGGUGAUCGGCCACAUUGGAACUGAGACACGGUCCAA
rnacentral:rRNA from 1 species